UCAGAGUCUGAUGGAUCUGGGUGACUGGGCAAGUUCUUUAGCUUGUCAAACCUUCAUUUCUCUAAUUUAUAACAUAAGGACAGUACCUUCUUCCUGUCAAGGUUGAGGCAAGCAUUAGUGAGAAACGUCUCAAGGCCUGGUUCACAGAACCCUGGGUGGCAGGUACUAUUGGCACCAUUUUCCAGAUAAAGAAAAUGAAGUUCUAAGCAGUCAAAUGACAUGUCAAGAUCACCCAACUGAGACUACUGCCCUUCAUUGAUUGAUGUCCGGUGCCUGGAAAGCCAUGGUUUUAUGCAGUUUGUGGAUUUUUUAUUUUUUUUCUUUAUUUGAAAUGGGAAGGAUCACAUUAC
rnacentral:lncRNA from 1 species